GGUCUUUGGGAAUGGGGACAGCAUAUAUGUAAGAUGUAGCUGCUAGAGUUUCCUGGAAUCAUGGCGGAUCUGUAAGGAUUUGCCACCAGAGGAAUCAGAUUUUAAUAAGGCUUACAAGAUUAGGUUUUAGUUGUUGUGCCCAAAGAUUGAGUUACCAUUGUUUCUGAACUAAGUUUGUGUUGGCUUUUCCUUCACACAGUGGGGGCGGCUCAUCUGGGUUCAAGAGAGAAAGGGUUCAGACUACAAACUGCUUCUGUGUGACUAAGAAGAAUCAGAAUAAAGAGAAACAUACUCUCUUCCGAAGAUUAGGCAGGAGGAGCUCUAGAAUUUCACAAAGGUGCUGUCAGGACACAUGAAAAUCUGGGGAAAAAGACAGGCUUGAAGAGACCAAAAAGAAGAAAGCCUGCCAAUCACAUCCUCCAAGGAUUCUGAGACACACACACCCCUGGUGUAGGGGGAACAUCACCUGAAAGGUGACACCCACUCUAAGGAAUAUAAGUACCAGCUAAAAAGGACACACACUUGAAGAAAAAGGAGACAAUGAGGUCUUGUGAAUGCUCUAAUUUUUCAAAGCUUACUUUUAAUGAUGGUUCUUAAACGCUUUAACCUCCCUUCUAGUCCACCACCCACCAAAGGUAGUGGGAAAGAAAGGUGAUUAGGAUACAGG
ensembl:processed_transcript pluripotency associated transcript 14